rnacentral:rRNA from 1 species
UACGGAGGGUGCAAGCGUUAUUCGGAAUUACUGGGCGUAAAGCGCGUGCAGGCGGGCUAGCAAGUCUGAUGUGAAAGCCCCGGGCUUAACCUGGGAAGUGCAUUGGAUACUGUUGGUCUUGAGUUGCGGAGAGGAUGGGGGAAUUCCCGGUGUAGAGGUGAAAUUCGUAGAGAUCGGGAGGAAUACCAGUGGCGAAGGCGCCCAUCUGGACGACAACUGACGCUGAGACGCGAAAGCGUGGGGAG